UUUAGAAAACGAGUAUGAACCCGUGCCUUUGCAUCUGGACAUGCAUACAGCCAUUUUAUUAAUUAUUGACGAAGACCUUACAAAGUAAUAUAUUGAUCAGUCUAAAGCCACCAUCUCAGCAAUAUCUGUCACUACUCCUAUCAACUUUGCACCAAAGUCUAACAUCUAAAUCCGAAGACCCCAACCAAGCCACAAUGCCGGGUCUCGGCACACACCGGUCCGGCGCACCCUCAGAGGCGGCCGCCGCCAUCUUCCACCGAUCCAUUCAGAAUAGGAACUGACGCAUCGACCUUUGACAGGCCUUUCGUCAAUGACACCACAAUGCCAGACAGCGUCGUCCUCCUGCUUAUCAUGAGAAACAUUUAAAACGUAUUGUUGAACAAAUGUCAACUUUUUUUAGCACAUUCAGCAUUUUUCAUAUACAUAAAAACGUAUUUUAUACACAUUUAAAUAUUUUAAAUACAUGAUUAACAUGUUUUGAAAACUUAUUAUAUGAUCACUAUUUUUUCCAUACUUAUUUUAAAUUUUUGGUAUAUAUCAAAUACAUUUUUAAAACAAUAUUAUCAUUUUUUGAAUACAUGGUCAACAUUUUUUAAUACACGGUGAAUUUUUGUAAUGGCAAUAAACAUUUCUUCACCCAUAAUGUACAUUUUCAUAUACAUCAAAAACAUUUUUAUAUACAUGUUUACAUUUUUCCAAAUACAGAAUUAAAAUUUUAAAGUAUAUGUUGUUUUCUUGAAUUUUAUUUAAUGUACAUUGUACAUUUUUGUAUACACUACAAACACUUUUCUAUACACGUUUAACAUUUUUUAAAUACAUUAUCAACAUUUUUCUCAUGCACGCUGUAUAUAUUUUCAUAUACAUGACAAACAUUAUAUAUACUAGUCGUCAACCCGUGCAUCCGCACGGGCUAUAGAUAUUAUAAUUCUAGUAAGAAUCUAGAUCCCACGUGAAAUAUAUUACUCCCUCCGAUUGAAAAUAAGUGUAAUGGUUUUAGUUCAUUGGAACAGAAAAUAGUAAAGACUGAGAAUUACAAAAAAUAACUUAAGCUUAAAUGAAUGAAGAUCACAUUAGGGAAGGUAUAUAAAACAUUACUCCAUAUAUACAACGAACUCGAUGGAAUUUUAGUGGCUUUAAUCAUUGUCAGGUUACUGAUUGAUGACCCAUAUGAACCCAAAGCUUAUCUUUGCAUAAUCUAUGUCAGCGUAUUCUUUUUAGAAACAGAUGACAAUAAGGGGAAAUAUUGAAUAUUCAUUUAGAAUAAUAUAAAAAUAACGACAGAGACUUACAAAUAAUAACUUAAUUAAACCUACAUGAUUAGAGACCACAUUAGGUAAGUAGCACAAUGCGCCAUAGCUUUAAUAUAACCAACACAAUGGAAUAUUAUUACCAUGAGGAAUGGGAAGAUUACUGAUCGACGAUCCAUCUUAAUCCAAAUUUAUUCUUUGUAUAAUUUGUAUCGGCACAUUCUUUGGGAAUCGAUAGUAAAAAGUGUAAAUAUUGGAUACAGUUUUAGAAUAUUUUGCGUAUAUUUUAUACCACUGUACUUGUCAGUACGUGGACCUAUUGAUGUUAUUAGUUUGUGUUAGAUAGCAUACAAAACUCUCACGUAUAGAAAAAGAUAGAAAACACUGCAUGCAGAAGUCCACUUAGCUUCAGAUCAUAUGCACUUGCCAUGAACAGUAAAUUAGAAAACAAUUGUAAAACAAAAUCAAAUUGGUUUCAGUUUUGAGUGCUUGCAAAGUUUUGGGUUUUUAAAGUUGGUUGAAGUUUUGAGUGCCUGCAAAGUUUUAUUACAGAAUAACAUUCGUGGAAGUUGUCCCCAAAAAAGACAACCAUUGGUCCAAAAUGCUUUCAAAGAUAGAAUUUUUGGAUCACCAUUUUUUUUCAUAACUUCCACGAUUGUUAUUAUAUCAUGAAACUUUGCAAGCACUCAGAGCAUUCAUCAAUAUUUGCAACCAAAAAACUGUCAUCAUUUUUUGAAUUUUUUGUUGGAUUUUACUGUUUUUUCUCGAAUACCAGAUUUUACUGUUUACGCAAGCUCAUUUGAGCUCAGAGCUAAGAUACUCCACUGUAUGAUCCUUCUUGGAUGCUACUUGCAACUACUGCUGUAUACAAAUGAAGGAUAAUCAGCUUGUGUAGUUCCAUCAUUUAAUAUGUGCAUCUUCAAAAAAUGGAAAGUUCAAAAUAGAAUGGUUAAUAUAAAUAUUGAGCUGUUGCUCACACACUAACUUACAGGGGUGGCUAUACUUACCUCAACAUUCAACCUACAUAUAUGCCUCGGUUGGGCAUGGAUCAUCUUACAAACCUGUGCCUUGAAUGCCAAAAUUAGCUUUUACAGAAUUUUUACCUAACCAUGCUUUGACAUUUAACUCCUUGUGCUAUGUACAACUCUAAGUAUUACAGCUAGAUAUGAGCACGACCGUUGUAAAAUAUACAAUGUUUCAGAAAUAGUGCCGUUAUAUAUUUCUCUAUCUUUCAAAACCAAUUAAGAAAAAAAUACAUGCUCAAGUAAAACUAAUUAAGAAAAAAACCAAUCCGAUAAAAUUUGCUCAAGUGAAAUAUUCAAAGCAUAAGUUAUAUUAUAGUCAUGUGUUGAAAAAAAAUAAAAAGUUAGAAAAGUCUUUUUUCGGGCCAUAAAGAUCAAGUGCAAUUUGUUAAUAGUACCGGUUCUCCCUCCGAAGGUUGUCGAUUGAGAAUAUUGCUGUUCCAUUUAUCUUGUUGCGGAUGGCAGAAUCCUCUUUGGCACAACAUGGCGAAUUUGCACCUGCUGCAUGUACGCACACAUGAAUACAGGCUUAAUAUUAAGAGCAGUGGGUAUGUAUCAAUCUACGCAUAGAGUGUAGAGAUUAAGAGCAGUGGUUAUGUAUCAAGUUACGCAUACAGUAUAGAGUACAGUUACUGUAAUAUGACCAUGG
rnacentral:lncRNA from 1 species